GCCCCCGUUGUCUAAUGGUUAUGACGUCAGACUUCUAGACUUGUAUGUCGUGUUAUCUGGAGGUUGCGGGUUCGAGUCCCGCCGGGGGUU